rnacentral:rRNA from 1 species
UACGUAGGGGGCUAGCGUUGUCCGGAAUCAUUGGGCGUAAAGAGCGUGUAGGCGGUCCGGUAAGUCCGCUGUGAAAGUCGGGGGCUCAACCCUCGAAUGCCGGUGGAUACUGUCGGGCUAGAGUGCGGAAGAGGCGAGUGGAAUUCCUGGUGUAGCGGUGAAAUGCGCAGAUAUACAGGGAGGAACACCUAUUGCGAAGGCAGCUCGCUGGGACGUAACUGACGCUGGAGACGCGAAAGCGUGGGGAGCAAACAGG